rnacentral:ncRNA from 16 species
CCGGCAUCGAGCGAAGCGUGUUAGGAGGCUUCGCAAGAGGGAACCCGGUGCAAGUCCGGGACUGUCCCGCAGCGGUAAGCAGGAACGACCGCCGUCAAAAGCACUGGUCACCAGACUGGGAAGCGACGGCCAUUAGGAGCACCACUGGAGUGCGCGCCUGCGAGUCCGAAGACCUGCCAGCAGUACCGGGCGCGCC